AGUUUUUUAAAAAGCUCUUCCAUGGGGAUUUGGGGAGUUUUUGAUUUGGUACUUUCCUCAGGCAGUGCUUGCUCCAUAUUUAUCUUCCUGCUGGUAUUGUUGACACAGUCUUCAUUUUCUCAACUGUUAAACUCAUCAGAGUGAGGUUUGGUGCAUGGAAGCUACCUGCCUUGCUCAUGGCCAUGUAACAGAUGAGUGGAGCAGGUUCUUAAACUAAAUUUCUAAAGUUCUGCUCUACUGUGCAAAGAAACUGGGAGUUAGUUUUAUCUUUCAGUUUCUCGUUUCCUCAGGAGAGCUGUGGUCUAAAGAUGCUGAGACCAGAAGUGUGUAAGAAUUCCAGUCUUUUUAAAACUAAAGGUAUGUAAUAAGUUCUAUAAAACUGGUCUAGAACAUCUGAAAAUAUCAGGAAUACAUACACUGGAGUUUCCUUCUAAUAAUGCAAAAAUAGGCUUUGGCUCCAAUGCUGUAUUUCUUCAUUUAUUACUCUGAUGUUCUUUGUUGCAUUUGUAAUAAUCUCUUAAAGUAUUUAAAAUAUUUUCCCAAUAUGCUGACAGUGUCCUGCAAAAAUGUCUCUUUAAAGUGAUGCAUAGAGAUCUGUCACAGAAGAACUAACUGCAAAAAGAAUCUUCAGCAGCAGAAGGAAUGAAAUCUGAGGGGAAAAUUUUGAAUAAUUAAUAACAUGAAUGCAUUAAAUCUCCUGCAAGAGGUAGAAUGAAAAUUCCCCUGUUAGAUAUAAAUGUGGUAUUUAUUUAGAAAGAUGAUACCUACAUUGUUGGAAAGACUGAUUUGUUAACAAUUCAAGAGUAAUUUCAGUGAUUGAUUGACAUGCAAGAAUCUACAUGUCAGGAUUACUAUUUUGUCUUGGUGCUAAAGUGCUGCAAGAUUUUUUUCUGAUGCAUAUAUAAUUCUUGGAUUCUCUGGUAUCACAGAUGCCAUGUGUGGGUGGUAAUAAUUUUGCUGGUUUCUCAACAAAGCAGCUACUAAUUAUUCUUUUUUUCUUCAAUUUUUCAAUUGUUAAAAGGGUUGACUGAAAUAUGCACUUUAUGAAAAUUUUACUGGCAUUUUAAGAAGUUCUCUGUAUCAGCAGGAAACACAACCUGUGUUCACUGUUCAUUGAACUUCAGAAAACAGUAGCACUGCACUAAGACCAUAUGCAUUUGCAAGAAGCUAAUAAAAUUCAGAUAAUCUGAUCAAACUGGAGCUGGUACAUUUCUGAGUUUAGAAAAAUUAUGCUAGCUCUAGGUAAAAUGUCAGUAGCCACAACUUGUAUGUUUUGUGAUCAGAGGGAAGAUUUUCACGAUGUAUUUUACAAAGCCCAUGGCAUUUCUGACUUGUGUUCUUAGACAAGUCGUUUCUUCUGUUUGAGAAUCAGUGCAUGUAUGAGAGAAAUCUGCUGGUAACUGGUCUGUAAUUUUAUUGCACUAAAUGACCACAAUAGAAGCUGCACUAGGGAAUCUUGCUCUGCAACCAAACAAACAUAUAACCUUAUGCUUUUUCAAAUAUGCUUUGUUAAUUGCAACAAUCCUUUCUGCUGCAAAAUUCUGAAUGUCUUACUAAGCCCCCGCUGUUCAAAUACCACAGUGGCUAGAUCUUCACAAUGAACUGGGUUUUUGCUUCCUGACUGUGAAAACUUGAGGUAUGCCCUUUUUAUUCCAAGGGUGAACACUGCAAAUCAUGUGAUCUGGUGCUUCACCUGUCCCAAGGAAGCUAUCCCAGUAAGUUCUGAAGGUAUUUUGCCAACUUUUAGCUCUCCCCUCUUGUAAUGAUUUUUUUUUUUUUUCUGAUAACAGGGAAAAUUAUGCACUUUUUUGUCCUUUUAAGAUGUCUCCACGGUAAAAUCCAGGCCUUGGAAAUCUGCAUAAGGACAAGAUUUUUGGUCUUCAGAAGACAGGAUACAAUACUAACAAAAAAUAAUGGCAAUAGGAGCAACACACUUUCUGGACUGAAUGCUCUCUCUUCCAUAAAUGUCUGACUUUUUAGACGUCUGGCAGAACAGCCUGUGAUGUCUUCCAGGUGAAGAAAUGGAAUGAAAAAAGUCCAGCAUGGAGACUGACAACUGGAGGAAAGUCUUGACAUACCCAUGUCACUUCCAGCCAUUACUUCUAAUGUCUUUUUUAGGGACCACCACAGGAAGAAGCAUCUGUCCUGACUUUUCCUUGUUGCCAUUUGGAUGCAUCAUUUAAUUUCCCCACAACUGGAGAGUUUUUCAGUAUUCCUCUGUUUUGAUGAAAUCUGUUUGCAUACUGAAUAUUGAAGGCAGCUCAGGAACAGUCACAGUUGUGCCAUCUCCUCCACUCUGCCAUUUGGAAAAACAGAGGCCGUUGAGAAGCAGCAGUGAUGUGGUGUGCCUAAACAGGAAGGAAAUUGCUCUUUCAGUGAAAAAGUGAGGUUUGUCUUUUGCAUGAGCACUCUGAAUCUGCACACAGUGUCAGAAAGUUUUCGGGGGUAAAGAGCCUUAUUAGUCAUACGGAUGACUGUUUGUGGCUGGUGGUAUGAAAUCAUGAAUGUGCUGUUACUUCAUCUACAUUCACAGCAUGGUAACAUCCUCCUUGAAAAGAAGUAUGGACAGCAGCUGAUGUAUAAAAAGCUUCUAGUAACAAUCACUGUGCUCAUAAACUGAUUCUUUUAAAUAAAAAUAAUGGUUAAAAUCCUAUAGAUUCAUUACCAAAUUUUUGAUACAGACAAAAUGCUAAGC